ensembl:lncRNA
UGAAGAAACAAACUCUUUAUUCCCAGCUCUUUCAGUGUUAAUGGGAUACAGUUUAAAAUACUUCUUUGGUGAUUCACACAGAAAUGAUUACCUAACCGAACUGGGAACAGGAAAAUGCACAAAGAAGACACAUGUUUGGUGUUAAAUCAAGCAAUUAGAAAAACUAAAAUAUAACAUUCCCUCCUUGGUUUGGCUAUUAGCUUUUUUACAAGUUAUUUCUCCUAACAUUUCACCUUUAAUGUCAAAUAUAUAUUUAAUUUAAAUCUGAUAAUGAAAUUAAUUAAAUGGUAACAUCAGGCUAGGAUUAAUAGCUGUGCUAGAUGAAGAUUUUUACUGUAACUGUAAAACCACACAUUCUCUUAUUCUUGGAACAAUCAGCCUCAGCUGAAAUCAUGUAUUAAAUUGAUGUUAUACACCUCAAAUAUUUCUGUUUUUAAAUGACUGGAAGACAGUCCCUAUGUGGCCAAUUACUUCUACAGUUUGCCAUCUAUUUUCCAACCUACCAUCAUGUUGUUAAUUACAGUGUCUUUUGUGGUUCUGAAAGGAAUAUCUUUCAUUUAUUAAUGAUGACAUAUAUCAAAUAUCUACCCUUAAUGCAGACUAUAAAUGAGAACUGUGUUUCUUUGUAAGGUUGUUAAAACUGGUUGUUAUGAAUCAAAAUGACAAUAGCACGCAGCAUCUCCAGUGAACCCUUUAAGAGUUUGAAAAGCAAUUUGGUAGACUAUGUGGAAGUUUGUAAUUACAUAAAAUAUCUUCUUCAGUAAUAAAUAUAAAACAUGCAGCAAAAAAAGCACUUUAUGUAAAUCUCCAUGAUGAAUAUUUAUUACUUGGUGCAUGGAAACAAACAUUCAAGUGAAUGAAUUCAGUAAUUUUUUUUUUCUAAUUCCACCACUUUUAGAAUUAAUAGAAGAGAAUUAUUGAUUAUUAAUAGAAGAAAUUAUUGAACAGACAGGUUAUUUCCAGUUUUAGACAUAAAUCUUAAAAAGGACAGUUAAACCAUCAGGUACACUGCAUUUGAGAUGUAGUUCCUCUUUCAGAUCAAUAGAAAUGAGAAGGAACUACAUCAGAUUUUAUGUUCCCUCAGCAUCACCUUGUGAACCUCAUACUAUUUCCAGCUCCUGACAUAACUUCAGUUAUAUUAUUUCCCUAAGCUUAUGCAAUCUUAACAGUAUCUAGAGAAGACUUGGAACCAUGUUUUUUUUUGUUUUGUUUUGUUUUGUUUUUAAUAAUAUAUUUCAUAUAAAGAAGCUGGAUGGGGCCUGGAUCAGACAAGCUCUUGAGUUUCCCCCAGGUGCCCACAGCUGACAGAGGAAGUGCCCAUCCUGCAUCUAAGCUAAAAAUUUCAUGGAGAUGCUCUCAGCCUCUCAGUGUGAUCUCAGGACAGCUACAGGCCACUAAAGCUCAGUGGUCUGAACACCAGUACCAACUGAGCAAUAUGCUCUCCUUUGUGGUAUCAGGGGCUCAGUCAUGCUCCAACAAGCUAAGGCCUAGAUGUCCUGCAGCAUGGUGUGGAUAGCAUGUGUUCUGAGCAGGACUGGUAUCCAUGCUGGUGUACACAAGACCACUGCUCUUGAGUCUAUUUUGGGCACUGUAGGUUUACUCAUGGCCACUUAGUGUCACCAUUUCUCAGCUCAGUAACAGGAAAUUGGUGGGCCUUUGUGGCAGGAGAGGCAACCGUUUAGACUCAUGCAACAACCCCUUGAUCACAUAUAGGAGCCAGAGGCCUCGUGUGUGUUUAUGUCCGGUGCAAGUAGUUGCUCAGCUUGUUUACUCAUCUGCAAAGUCUUUUGUUCAUGAUGUCUUUCUUUGUCCCACAUCUCCCCCUUCUCUAUUAAUAAAAAGAAAGGCGCAGUUCAGAAACAUUCCUAUAAACAACUAAACUAACACUGAAUGAUUGGUUCUUUCCAGUAUAGUUGAAGUACGAUCAAUAGUCCAUUCUAACCAAUCCCAACAAUUCCAAUUCAUAUGGUUCCCUGGUGACGCAAUUGACAAGCAAAGUGUGUCUUGUCCCAUCUUGUUGGCGAGGGUGACCCAUAUAUUCUGUUUUGGUUGAGCUGGAAUCCAAACCGCUGAUGAAUGCAUGGUGAUCAUGUUACAGCAGAUGAUGAGGGGAAUGACUGGACCCAUCAUGCUGGUACACAUCUCAGACCCAUUCCUAAUUUUCUGGAGCAUCGAGCAACUGCUACAAAAGCUAAAAGGUUCAGAAAAAAAUACACUGCAUCAGUGCCAACAGCUGGAACGAGUGAGGGUCCAAACACAAGCCUAUGUCUCAGCAGCAACUUUCCACAGCUCCUGCUCCCACGUGCCGACGGUAAAUGCCGAGUGCCUGUGGUGGUGGAUGAGCCAUAGGCUCAGGGUCUGCAUGCUCUACUGCGAGUCGCUGAGCUCCGAUAGCUGCCAUUCCAGCGCCUUUUGUUGUGCAGAUUCUCCCCAAAAGCCCAUCCACAUCAUGUAUCGAGAACCUGUCAAGUUGUGUCAAAGUCUCGCAAUCACGAAGACAAAAAGUGUAACUUUUCAUAAUAGAGCUCAUCAGAUUACUGGUAGAGGGGGAGCCGAGCCCUGAUCCAAAAACCGAAAUCGCAGGGCAGGCGAGAGCCGAAUGCGAUCUCUGAACGAUGCCAAAGUCUCCCUCCUGCUCCGGUUCUUCGCGGAUCUCUCGCCAAAAUUCACACGGAUCAGGGAGAUUGUAAGUCUGGUUCCUUCCUCGGGCUCACUUGUCUGGGGUCUAAAGGGCCAUUGUCCUUACCAUCGCGGUUUUUUACAGCGGCCCCCACCACAGGAAGAGCGGUGGGCUCCAUAUGUUUUUUUAGUGAUUCAAAAACUGAUCUCCAGGAACCCAAGAGGUUUUUAGCCACAGGAUCAGAGCGCGUAGCUGCGUCCCACAGUCGCACUCCCGCUUUGUCCCACAUUUCUGUGUAGUCCCACCUACUUCUACAUUACGGGAGAAUAAAUUGGAGCUUUCCACGUUAGCGUGGGUGCUUCUGCAAAAUGUUUCCAUUAUUUUGCAAACAGCCUCCUGCACCUUCGUUAUACUUGUUCCCAUUGUUCCCCGUUGCUCACCUCCGUCCUGCAGAAGUGAUUCGGCUGUGCGAUGAAACCUCGGGCAGCCGCGUUUCUCUCAACGCUCCCCUGUACAGGCUUCUUCUAUGUUGAGCCUCGCGUUUCUCUCAACGCCUUCUCCAUGGCUUCUCUCAUCCUCGCGUUUCUCUCAACGCUCUCUCGAUAAGGCGUCUCUCAUCUCUGCUCUUCUCUCAGCGCUCUCUCGAUAGGGCUUCUUUCAGCCCCACGCUCCUCUCAGCUCUCUCUUGACAGGGCUUCUCGCAGCCCCGCGCUUCUCAGUGCUCUCUCGAUAGUGCUUAUUUCAGCCCGCUCUGCUUUUCGUGUCCCUAUUCGUGCGCCAAUUGUGGCAGGAGAGGCACGGACGCAAUUGCAGGUGCAGAACGAAGAUGUCUUUUAUACCCUCGCAACAACCCCUUGGACAUAUGUAGGAGCCAGGCGCCUCGUGUGU